UUGACCUCGGAUCAGGUAGGAUUACCCGCUGAACUUAAGCAUAUCAAUAAGCGGAGGAAAAGAAACCAACAGGGAUUGCCCCAGUAACGGCGAGUGAAGCGGCAACAGCUCAGAUUUGGAAUCUGGCCUUCGGGUCCGAGUUGUAAUCUGGAGAGGAUGCUUCUGGCGCGGUGCCUUCCGAGUUCCCUGGAACGGGACGCCGGAGAGGGUGAGAGCCCCGUACGGUUGGACACCUAGCCUUUGUGAAGCUCCUUCGACGAGUCGAGUAGUUUGGGAAUGCUGCUCAAAAUGGGAGGUAAAUUUCUUCUAAAGCUAAAUAUUGGCCAGAGACCGAUAGCGCACAAGUAGAGUGAUCGAAAGAUGAAAAGCACUUUGAAAAGAGAG
rnacentral:rRNA from 1 species